rnacentral:rRNA from 1 species
GACGAACGCUGGCGGCGUGCUUACACAUGCAAGUCGAACGGAAAGGCCCUGCUUUUGUGGGGUGCUCGAGUGGCGAACGGGUGAGUAACACGUGAGUAACCUGCCCUUGACUUUGGGAUAACUUCAGGAAACUGGGGCUAAUACCGGAUAGGAGCUCCUGCUGCAUGGUGGGGGUUGGAAAGUUUCGGCGGUUGGGGAUGGACUCGCGGCUUAUCAGCUUGUUGGUGGGGUAGUGGCUUACCAAGGCUUUGACGGGUAGCCGGCCUGAGAGGGUGACCGGCCACAUUGGGACUGAGAUACGGCCCAGACUCCUACGGGAGGCAGCAGUGGGGAAUAUUGCACAAUGGGCGGAAGCCUGAUGCAGCAACGCCGCGUGCGGGAUGACGGCCUUCGGGUUGUAAACCGCUUUCGCCUGUGACGAAGCGUGAGUGACGGUAAUGGGUAAAGAAGCACCGGCUAACUACGUGCCAGCAGCCGCGGUGAUACGUAGGGUGCGAGCGUUGUCCGGAUUUAUUGGGCGUAAAGGGCUCGUAGGUGGUUGAUCGCGUCGGAAGUGUAAUCUUGGGGCUUAACCCUGAGCGUGCUUUCGAUACGGGUUGACUUGAGGAAGGUAGGGGAGAAUGGAAUUCCUGGUGGAGCGGUGGAAUGCGCAGAUAUCAGGAGGAACACCAGUGGCGAAGGCGGUUCUCUGGGCCUUUCCUGACGCUGAGGAGCGAAAGCGUGGGGAGCGAACAGGCUUAGAUACCCUGGUAGUCCACGCUGUAAACGGUGGGUACUAGGUGUGGGGUCCAUUCCACGGGUUCCGUGCCGUAGCUAACGCUUUAAGUACCCCGCCUGGGGAGUACGGCCGCAAGGCUAAAACUCAAAGGAAUUGACGGGGCCCCGCACAAGCGGCGGAGCAUGCGGAUUAAUUCGAUGCAACGCGUAGAACCUUACCUGGGUUUGACAUGGAUCGGGAGUGCUCAGAGAUGGGUGUGCCUCUUUUGGGGUCGGUUCACAGGUGGUGCAUGCCUGUCGUCAGCUCGUGUCGUGAGAUGUUGGGUUAAGUCCCGCAACGAGCGCAACCCUUGUUCACUGUUGCCAGCACGUUAUGGUGGGGACUCAGUGGAGACCGCCGGGGUCAACUCGGAGGAAGGUGGGGAUGACGUCAAGUCAUCAUGCCCCUUAUGUCCAGGGCUUCACGCAUGCUACAAUGGCUGGUACAGAGAGUGGCGAGCCUGUGAGGGUGAGCGAAUCUCGGAAAGCCGGUCUCAGUUCGGAUUGGGGUCUGCAACUCGACCUCAUGAAGUCGGAGUCGCUAGUAAUCGCAGAUCAGCAACGCUGCGGUGAAUACGUUCCCGGGGCU